CCUACGGGAGGCAGCAGUGAGGAAUAUUGGUCAAUGGCCGGAAGGCUGAACCAGCCAAGCCGCGUGAAGGACGAAGGUGCCAAGCAUUGUAAACUUCUUUUGUCAAGGGACAAAAUCAGGCUCGAGAGCCUGACCGAGGGUACUUGAAGAAAAAGCAUCGGCUAACUCCGUGCCAGCAGCCGCGGUAAUACGGAGGAUGCGAGCGUUAUCCGGAUUUAUUGGGUGUAAAGGGUGCGUAGGCGGAUGGUAAAGUCAGCGGUAAAAGCCCGGGGCUCAACUCCGGAGAGCCGUUGAAACUGGCUGACUUGAGAGGGCGAGAGGUAAGCGGAAUG
rnacentral:rRNA from 1 species